GUAACAGCGCUUUAUUCUUCCUAUUUUAUUUAUAUUUAUAUCUCGACUUGUCAAUAUGUUAACAUCGUCGCAUUCUGAAUACGAGUCAUAGUCUAUAGCCCCAGUGACAUCACAGACCAUUCUAAAAUCUAUCGUUGACGGUAAUAAAUAAUACUUCAAGGAAUAACAGUAUCUCAGAAGCCGGCAUCUUUGGCGGUGGCACUGGCAUGUGCGGCAACUGCGAUUCCUGAUUCUGCAUUCUUCGUUCACUACACAACGGUCACUCUUAGCGAGGAUCAAAAUAACUAUGAUGAACGGCGUCGCACA